CGCCUCAGCUUCCAAAGUUUUACGUCACUUCCGUUUUCCCCAACUUCCCGCCUUUUUGACCGUUAGUGCUCAGGACCUGUCAACCCCGCUCUGCCCGCCCUAUUCUCAGUCGACCAGGCGCUGCCUCCUCAGCCCCCAACAGGAGGAAUGGCCCCCAGGCCCUCAGUGUCACCCACCUUCCAGUGUCAUCCGGUAAUGUCGCCUCCUGGCCUGACAAUCCUGGACAGCACCAACCCAGGGCCAUUGGGAAUUCCCAAGGGGGAGUUUGGGAAUCAGGCUUUCCUGAUGCUCCUUGGAGAAAGAAGAUGCCCGGCAUGUGCCUUCUGGGCAGUGGGAAGGAUGACCCAGUGAACCUGCAAUGACUCUAGGACUUUGUAGGGGGAUAGCAAUCCAUUGGCCUGGUGAAGGGAGUCUGGUUCUUUUGGGGGGCUGCCAUUGGUCUUCUGUCUGUUGAUCGGCUCCUUCCAGGCCGGGAGGAAAGGCUGCCUUCCUCAAAGGUGUCACAGGCC
rnacentral:lncRNA from 1 species